rnacentral:misc_RNA from 1 species
UUUUGAGACUCGCGCAUAAUUGGAGCACCGCUUUUUCAAUUUGCCUUCUUUGAGUGUUGAUAAGGAGCAAGAGAAUAUGAGGAUUAUGCUGUAGAAGUGCAUAGUAGAAAGCAGAAGUCAAAUUAAUGGUUUUACGCGACCGUCAUAGUCUGCAGCAGCAAUGACACCUGAACAAUUCAGAGGGCUGCUCAAACAAUGGGACAGGGUCGGAAGGAGUGACUUCUUACAGUACCUGAAGAACAUCAUCCCUAAUCAGGAUGAAACACUUCUUGGCACAGUGGGCUCUUCAGAAGAUGUACACAUGUGUCUGUACCGGCUGAUCCAGGCUGGCGCCGACGGCGUUCUGAAGAAGGAGAGCGUCGCCAAGACGCUGUCAGAGGCCGUGACGCUCCACCCCGACCUCCCUGCCGCGGUGGUUGACAUUUUCGGUAUGCUUGAUGUCGAAAUCACCGCGACUGAUGAUCCCAAAAGUAAAGAAAGGUUCUACUGGAUCAUCAAAUCCGUCGAAGGGGCCGUGUCCAACCAGCUCCUGCGAGAGAGGAUGGAGGUCGAGAGCUUCCCGCACAUCGGCGUCGUCAAAAACCCCAAGGCCUUCAACUCAAAGUUCAUCAAACUCAAAACAAAGCUCUACUACAAGCAGCGCAAGUUCAACCUGUUUCGGGAGGAGAGCGAGGGUUACGCCAAGCUGCUAGUAGAGCUGAACCAGGACCAAUCCAGCUCCUCACCAGAACAUAUGCUCGAAGUCAUCAAAGCCAUCAUCGGCUGUUUCAACCUGGACCCGAACCGAGUGCUGGACGUGCUGCUGUCGUCGCUGGAGGCGCGGCCGGACCGGCACGCCUUCCUGGUGCCGCUGCUGCGCCUGUACAUGCCCUCUGCGGAGACUGUCAGCGAGGUAGUGGGCGCGCGCUACGGCUUCUGCCAGCCGCAGCCGGGCCAGGACGAGACGGAGGCCGAGACGCCGCGCUCGCUGCACGUCAUGACGGCGCUGCUGCUGCGGCACGGCGUCAUCCGGCUGGAGCACAUCUGGCCAUGGCUACUACCGGCGGACUCUGCGAUCGAGGCGCAGCACCGGCGCCUGAUGGCGGCCGCCGCAGAGUACCAGCGGCGCACCUUCGUCGUCUCCACCAAGGACAAGGACAAGGAGGAGGCGCCGCGGGACGAGACGCCGACGCUCUCGCCGAUAUCCCAGAGCCAGAAGCUGGGUCUGUGCGAGGCGGUGCUGUCGAUCGGCGACUGGCCGACAGCGCAGGCCAUUCUGGCCCGCUUCCCGGACUUUUGUCUGAUGGUGCACCCGGAGCUGGCGGCGGCCGCCUGUCGCCUGCUCUCCGUCCGCCUGGAUCCCAUCUACCGACGGUUCAGCGGUAUGGCGGCGGCGCUGCGGCCGGCUCCGGUGUCUCUCCCCCCGCUGGUCGAGGCGCGGCCCGACAGUGAGCUGACCAGUGUGCGCUCAGAGGUGGCCCCUCUGCUCUCUGUGAUCGGACCGUACCUGUCGUCAGACGUGACACUGGUGUACCGCGUGCUGCGCGUGGCGCGGACUGCCCACCAGCUGCGUCUGAAGGAGGCGGACCCGGACGCGCCGGAGACGCGCGAGGCGUUCUUGUUCUACGACGUGCUCACGAUGCUGGAGGAGGCGGUGCUGCCCUGUCUGGUGCUGCUGGAGGCCAACUGCUGCCUGGCGGAGGAGAUCUGGACCGUGCUCGCCUACUACCCCUACCAGCACAGGUAUCGCCUGUACGGAACGUGGAAGAAUGAGAGCCACAACCAGCACCCGCAGCUCAUCAGGAAGCGGGCAGAUCUCAUCAAGAUGUCCAAGUCGCUGAUGAAGCGCAUCAGCAAGGAAAACGUGAAGCCGCUCGGCAGGCUCAUGGGCAAGCUGACGCACAACGCGCCUGGCUACAUGUUCGAAUACAUGCUGGGCCAGAUUCAGAUCUACGACAACCUGAUCGGGCCGAUGGUGGACUCUCUGAAGUACAUCACCAAUCUGUCGUACGACGUGCUGGGCUACUGCAUCAUCGAGGCGCUGGCCAACCCGGAAAAGGACCGCACCAAACACGACGGCACCUCGCUGUCACUGUGGCUCACGUCGCUCGCAAACUUCUGUGGGUUCAUGUUCAAAAAGUACAACCUGGACCUGACGGGACUCAUGCAGUACGUCGCCAACCAGCUCAAGUCGAUGAAGAGCCUGGACCUGCUGAUCCUGCGGGAAGUGGUCCAGAAGAUGGCCGGCGUCGAGGCUGUGGAGGACAUGACGGAGGAGCAGCUGUCGGCCAUGGCCGGUGGGGAGCUGCUCAGAGCCGAGGCCGGGUUCUUCAACCAGGUUCGGAACACGAAGAAGUCUUCCCAGCGUCUGAAGGACAGCCUCAUCGACAACGGCCUGAUGGUGCCGAUGGUGCUCCUCAUGGCCCAGCAGCGGCACUGCGUCGUCUUCAAGGAGACAGAGGGCUCGCACUUGAAACUCGUCGGAAAACUGUAUGAUCAGUGCCAGGACACGAUGGUGCAGUUCGGCAUGUUCCUGGCGUCUGCGCUCAGUAUCGACGACUACCGCCAGCGGCUGCCGGCCUUCGACAGUCUGCUGUCGGAGUUCCACAUCAGCCCUGACGUGGCCUUCUUCCUGGCCCGACCCAUGUUCACUCAUGCCAUCCAGCAACGUUACGACGAGCUGCGGAAAGCCGAAAAGAACCACAAGUCGCUGUCGGUGGAGCAGAAGCGCGAGAAGUACCUGCAGGCCAGCGAGCAGGUACUGGCGCCCGUGGUCACCGCCGUGGUGCCCGUGUUCCCGGCCAAAACCUGGGACGACAUCAGCGCCGAGUUCUUCACGUCGUUCUGGUCGCUGACGCUGAGCGACUUGCGCGUGCCGUCCGAGAGCUAUGAGAAGGAGGUCCGACGGCUGAAACAGCAGGUCACCCAGCUGGCCGACAACAGGGACCUGACGGAGAGCAAGCGUAAGAAGGAGCAGGAGCGCUGUCAGGUGCUGAUCGACAAACUGCACGAGGAGGAGAAACGCCAGAAGGAGCAUGUCGACCGAGUGCUGGCCAGACUCAAAAAGGAGAAGGACUCGUGGUUCGAACCGCGCCAGGCCAAGUCGGCCAAGACGGAGACGAUGACACAGUUCGUGCAGAUGUGUCUGUUCCCGCGCUGCGUCUUCACCUCCAUGGACGCGCUCUACUGCGCCGAGUUUGUGCGCACGCUGCACAGCCUGAAGACGCCCAACUUCUCCACGCUCAUCUGCUACGAUCGGCUGUUCUGCAACAUCACCUACACGUUCACAUCGUGCACGGAGAACGAGGCGUCCCGCUACGGUCGCUUCCUGUGCGCCCUGCUCGAGACGGUGAUGCACUGGCACGGCUCCAAAGAGGUGUUCGAGCGCGAGUGCGCCUUCUUCCCGGGCUUCGUCACCAAGUUCCGCGUGUCCAACAAACAGAACGAGCGCAGCGACCAUGUCGACUACGAGAACUACCGCCAUGUCUGCUUUAAGUGGUUCUACAAAAUCACCAAGGCGAUCGUGACCUGCCUGGACAGCCGCGAGUAUGUGCAGAUCCGGAACGCGCUCAAGAUCCUCAUCAAGAUCCUGCCCUGCUACCCGGUACUCAGCCACGUGGCCAACAUCGUCGAGAAGAAGGUCGAGUCGGUGAUCCAGGCCGAGAAGAACAAGCGCCAGGACCUGGCCAUCAUGGCCACCAGCUACGCGGGCCUGCUGCGCGCCCGCAAACACACCUACAUCCCGGAAAAGGACUUCCACACGGUCGACAAGAGCAAGAAGGCUGCUCCGCCGGCUGCCGCCGCCGCUCCGGCCGCCACCAAGGAGGCGACCAAGUCGACCAAGGGAGGGGAGGCGGCGCCUGCCGUGGCCAACGGCAGCGUCAAACAUGAGCCGAUGGACCAGGAUCGGCCUUCGCCGCGCCAGGAGACGUCCUACCGGUCAAAUGAUCGUGACGAGAGCACUGAGCGGCGAGUCAAGAGGGAAAGUCGGGGUCGGGACCGGCUCAGAGAGGACGGGGACCGCAGUCGGUCACAGACGCCGCGCUCGGACAGCACGCCCGUCUCGGGCCGGGAGCGGAAACACGACACGGAGGAGCGACGGGAGCGGAAGGCCGCCAAACGCAGUCCGCCAGACGACGAAAUGGAGAGCAAGAAGAUAUCGCACCGGGUGGAGCGGGAGUCUGACGAGAUCCGUGUGGUGGAGGACGAGUACUUUGAGAAGCCGCGCCGUCCGCCGGCCUCCUCGUCCCGCUCCGCCUCCGAGGCCUCUGACGUCGACAGAGAUGCCAAGCGGCGCCGAGUGGAAACUAAGGUUAGUAUGAUUGACGUGAGCUGAUGGCCGCGGCCGGCUGCGGCCCGGCUGUGGCCGCCGUCGCCGCCGCCGGCCGUCACGCGCCGCUCAGGGGGUGCCGCCGCCGGGCGCGACGACAGCGCCGCCGCCGCAGCCACCACCAUCGUCGAAGUCGCCACAGCAGCAGGAUUCGGCAGGGAUGCAAGAAACAACAUCGUCGUCAUCGUCACCGCGGCCGCCGUUACUGUCGGCCUGACAUCCUCAAUCCCUGCUGCUGUCGAGUGGGGCGGACGCCGCACCGGCUCAGCGCGACCGAGCGUGUGAGAGAGAAUCCGUGAGAGAGGAGGCGUCAUCGGUGUGUUAGAGAGGUGCCGCGCGGUAGUGAGAUGGACAGAGUGCUGGGAGAGCGGCAGAGUGCGAGAGGAGGGCUGAAAAGGCAGAGGACGCCGAAAAGUCUGCCAAGUGGAAGACGAAGGAAAGAGCGUUCAUGCGGUUAGUUCAAAAUGGCGAGGCGUGCUAUUCGAGCCGUUGCUCGAUCGCUAAAUGAAGUGAAUUGAGAACAUUCUUCUUUCGGCUGUGAUACGAGAUCUUUCUUCGGGUGUGAUUGGGGGCGGCGAAUAUGCCCCAAAUGGCUCAAAGAGCCGAACUCUUGUUAGUUUUUGUCGCGCCUCUGUCUUUGGCGCUGGCGAUCAAUACAUCCUUCCCAGAGAGAUUUCUGGUGGAGCAAGGCAUAAGUUCAGACAAAGAAUGUGCUGAGGAGCAAAUAUUCUUCAGAAUGUGUUAGUUCAAAGUGCUCUCAGGAAUACCCCGGUCAUCUUCUUCACGAAGCGUGCCUCCAUUGUGAGAUGUUUGUUCGUCGGUGCCUGCUGGUUUCUCCGUGGCCAGCGCUGCCGGUGGGUGCGUGUCCGCCGGCGCCCUCUGCCGUCUCGGGUUCGUCCGUCUCGACUCCAUUCGUCCGGUUUGGCGUCUCUCCUUGUUCUAUGAGGCAUGGCUAUUCGUGCCAGGAGAAGCCAGACAAUCGUGCUGGUGUCCGUAUUGGACCACAAGACAUCAGAGAAGCUCCAUCUGCCGCGCCGUGGUUUCUCUCGCAGUACCGCGGAAGAGGUGCUGACGGCUCCGACAGGGAAUCAAGAGCGCUGCAUGCAGCUCUGAGUACUCCAUACGCCGUGCUGGACCCUAUCUCUGAAAUGGGCGAAAAUGUUCCUCGAGGUCUCGGGCGUCAUGUUGAAGCGCCAUGAAGAUCGCAGUCGCUCUGGAGGGCGCUGUAAAUGAGCUGAUCUGCUACCUGUCGAUGGGAGUUAAACGAACCACCUUGUCAACACCACGGUUGUGUGUUGCUUCUGCAUCUGCUAACCUGGCAAAAGAAAAAACAACACGUCUGAGGAACCAGACGAACAAGAUGCCGCUGCAAGCCAGGCGUCAAACUCCAGAGAGUUUCCAAUAACUCUAUAGAAAGCCGCUCAGUCUGUUCAACUCAGAAGUCCAUCAAAACGCCAAAUCAACACCAAUCGUCUCCAAUCUGUCUGGAAUCAGCACAGUGCGCUCAAUCAGCGCAGAAGUCAUCGAACAGCACUGUGGCGGCCGGCCACCGCGCGGCGCGUGGCGCGCGAUCGAUCCCAUGAGUGGUGGCUCAGCACCGCCAGUCUGCUGUCACAGAGGUCCGCCGAAAAGGCUCCCGAAAAGGACGAGGAGAAGAAAAAGAAGAGGAAGAAGGCCGACAAAGGGUUGGAGGAAGGAGAGAUCAGGAACAAGCGGGAAGAAAAGAAAGAUAGGAAGCGGGUAAAUCAAUGGUUUGGUCGCUUACAUAACAUCGCUCCCUCAUUAUAUUGAUCGGUCUUUUAUGCGAUAUUUACGUUAUUCUUUCAAGGUGAUUUUUAUUUGAGAAGUCACCGGGGACAUAUCCUUCUUGAAGCAUCAACUCAUCUAUUUAUUGGUAAUUUCAUUUGAUUUGUUUCUUUAGUAACGUCUUCGUCGCUUGAUUUGUUUUAUCCGACUCUGUCUGCGAAACAGGCGACCGCUAGCGACAGAGACGUCUCUCCAGUCGACCUGAAGCGCAAACUCAAAGAAGAGGAGAAAGCCGCCAAGCGGCGCUCGGAGGGCGAGCUCGAGUACAGAGAGGUCAAGGAGAAACGACGGACACGGCGUGAGGAGGAGGUGGAGUACUAUGACGAGCCGCUGCCUCGGUACGCCGCUGACGACUACGACUGGGAACGAGAACGACCCGUCAAGGACAAACAUAGGGGCCGUCUGGACACAAAGCGACGCUGAUGCUGAUCCAGCUGCCAUCGAUGCCUGUAUUUCGUGGCGGCGGAGCUGGCGCAAUGGGGACAGAUCCUGCGCAGGUGCGCCUGUGCUGGACUAAUCGACAGCGGUCCGUCGAGGCGCUUUGCGAGCUGUUCCUAGCCCACCCGGCGAAUGCUGUGCAAGUGAACUAGACAAUACCGGGGCCUCGGAAUGACCUGGCAGUGACCUGAGUGGUCGUACCUAACCUGACUGGGACCGGCGGACCGAGUCGGAUGGUAACCCAUGUGGUAGAACUUUGACUGAGGACUGGCGGGCUGAAGGACUGGCGCCUGGGGUGACCUGCUGGACGGGCCUGUAAUCGGAUGUACCGGACGGCGGUGGUAUUGCCGACGGAACGGUAGAGAGCUGACGGCGGACACCACAAACCAAUGCACGCUGAGCUGUGGAGAGCGUCGCCAAACAUCGUGUUAAUAAUGCAGUUCAUUGUGAAUAUACCGGGACAUGUGA